GACUGGAUAGCCUAGUGAUAAAGGCAUCACAUCAACAUUAUGUGUUAGCUUACAUGCUGAGGUCCCUGGUUCAGAUCCAGUUCUAGUCA